rnacentral:piRNA from 1 species
GAUAACACUCCAUUUUGUAAAUCAGACGGCA